UACGUAGGGGGCAAGCGUUGUCCGGAUUUAUUGGGCGUAAAGAGCGUGUAGGCGGCUUUACAGGUCCGUUGUGAAAACUCGAGGCUCAACCUCGAGACGCCGGUGGAAACCGUAAAGCUAGAGUCCGGAAGAGGAGAGUGGAAUUCCUGGUGUAGCGGUGAAAUGCGCAGAUAUCAGGAAGAACAUCGGUGGCGAAGGCGCUCUGCUGGACCAUAACUGACACUCAGGGACGAAAGCUAGGGGAGCGAAUGGG
rnacentral:rRNA from 1 species